rnacentral:rRNA from 1 species
GUGCCAGCCGCCGCGGUAAUACGGAGGGUGCAAGCGUUAAUCGGAAUUACUGGGCGUAAAGCGCGCGUAGGCGGUCGGAUAAGUCGGGUGUGAAAGCCCCGGGCUCAACCUGGGAAUGGCAUUCGAUACUGUCUGGCUAGAGUCUGGCAGAGGGAGGUGGAAUUUCCGGUGUAGCGGUGAAAUGCGUAGAUAUCGGAAGGAACACCAGUGGCGAAGGCGACCUCCUGGGCCAAGACUGACGCUGAGGUGCGAAAGCGUGGGGAGCAAACAGGAUUAGAAACCCGAGUAGUCC